GACGAACGCUGGCGGCGUGCUUAACACAUGCAAGUCGAACGGUGAUGCUCCAGCUUGCUGGAGUGGAUCAGUGGCGAACGGGUGAGUAACACGUGAGCAACCUGCCCCAGACUCUGGGAUAAGCGCUGGAAACGGCGUCUAAUACUGGAUACGAAACUGGCCCGCAUGGGCAUGGUUUGGAAAGUUUUGCGGUUUGGGAUGGGCUCGCGGCCUAUCAGCUUGUUGGUGAGGUAAUGGCUCACCAAGGCGACGACGGGUAGCCGGCCUGAGAGGGCGACCGGCCACACUGGGACUGAGACACGGCCCAGACUCCUACGGGAGGCAGCAGUGGGGAAUAUUGCACAAUGGGCGAAAGCCUGAUGCAGCGACGCCGCGUGAGGGAUGACGGCCUUCGGGUUGUAAACCUCUUUCGGCAGGGAAGAAGCGAAAGUGACGGUACCUGCAGAAGAAGCACCGGCUAACUACGUG
rnacentral:rRNA from 1 species